GACGUAGGGCGCGAGCGUUGUCCGGAUUUAUUGGGCGUAAAGAGCUCGUAGGCGGCUUGUCGCGUCGGCUGUGAAAACCCGCGGCUCAACUGUGGGCGGGCAGCUGAUACGGGCAGACUGGAGUUCGGUAGGGGAGACUGGAAUUCCUGGUGUAGCGGUGAAAUGCGCAGAUAUCAGGAGGAACACCGGUGGCGAAGGCGGGUCUCUGGGCCGAUACUGACGCUGAGGAGCGAAAGCGUGGGGAGCGAACAGG
rnacentral:rRNA from 1 species